rnacentral:rRNA from 2 species
UGGGGAAUAUUGGACAAUGGGCGAAAGCCUGAUCCAGCAAUGCCGCGUGAGUGAUGAAGGCCUUAGGGUUGUAAAGCUCUUUUACCAGGGAUGAUAAUGACAGUACCUGGAGAAUAAGCUCCGGCUAACUCCGUGCCAGCAGCCGCGGUAAUACGGAGGGAGCUAGCGUUGUUCGGAAUUACUGGGCGUAAAGCGCACGUAGGCGGCCAUUCAAGUCAGAGGUGAAAGCCCGGGGCUCAACCCCGGAACUGCCUUUGAAACUAGAUGGCUUGAAUCUUGGAGAGGCGAGUGGAAUUCCGAGUGUAGAGGUGAAAUUCGUAGAUAUUCGGAAGAACACCAGUGGCGAAGGCGACUCGCUGGACAAGUAUUGACGCUGAGGUGCGAAAGCGUGGGGAGCAAACAGG